UAGAAACACCCUGGAGGAAAUCCUAAGUC
rnacentral:piRNA from 1 species